GACGAACGCUGGCGGCGUGCCUUAACACAUGCAAGUCGAGCGGUAAGGCCCUUUCGGGGGUACACGAGCGGCGAACGGGUGAGUAACACGUGGGUGACCUGCCCUCAGCUCUGGGAUAAGCCUGGGAAACCGGGUCUAAUACUGGAUAUGACUCCAUGACGCAUGCUGUGGGGUGGAAAGCCUUGUGCGGCUGAGGAUGGGCCCGCGGCCUAUCAGCUUGUUGGUGGGGUGAUGGCCUACCAAGGCGACGACGGGUAGCCGGCCUGAGAGGGCGACCGGCCACACUGGGACUGAGACACGGCCCAGACUCCUACGGGAGGCAGCAGUGGGGAAUCUUGCGCAAUGGGCGAAAGCCUGACGCAGCGACACCGCGUGAGGGAUGAAGGCC
rnacentral:rRNA from 1 species